rnacentral:sRNA from 1 species
UCGGGGGUUACCGACCUACGUAUCGCGUC